rnacentral:rRNA from 1 species
UUGACGGGGCCCGCACAAGCGGUGGAGCAUGUGGUUUUAAUUCGAAGCAACGCGCAGAACCUUACCAGCCCUUGACAUACCGGUCGCGGACACAGAGAUGUGUCUUUCAGUUCGGCUGGACCGGAUACAGGUGCUGCAUGGCUGUCGUCAGCUCGUGUCGUGAGAUGUUGGGUUAAGUCCCGCAACGAGCGCAACCCUCGCCCUUAGUUGCCAGCAUUUAGUUGGGCACUCUAAGGGGACUGCCGGUGAUAAGCCGAGAGGAAGGUGGGGAUGACGUCAAGUCCUCAUGGCCCUUACGGGCUGGGCUACACACGUGCUACAAUGGUGGUGACAGUGGGCAGCGAGCACGCGAGUGUGAGCUAAUCUCCAAAAGCCAUCUCAGUUCGGAUUGCACUCUGCAACUCGAGUGCAUGAAGUUGGAAUCGCUAGUAAUCGUGGAUCAGCAUGCCACGGUGAAUACGUUCCCGGGCCUU